rnacentral:rRNA from 1 species
UGGGGAAUAUUGCACAAUGGGCGAAAGCCUGAUGCAGCAACGCCGCGUGCGGGAUGACGGCCUUCGGGUUGUAAACCGCUUUCAGCAGGGACGAAGGUUUUCUGACGGUACCUGCAGAAGAAGCACCGGCUAACUACGUGCCAGCAGCCGCGGUGAUACGUAGGGUGCGAGCGUUGUCCGGAAUUAUUGGGCGUAAAGAGCUUGUAGGCGGUCCGUUGCGUCGGAAGUGAAAACUCAGGGCUUAACCCUGAGCCUGCUUUCGAUACGGGCGGACUUGAGGGAUGUAGGGGAGAACGGAAUUCCUGGUGGAGCGGUGGAAUGCGCAGAUAUCAGGAGGAACACCAGUGGCGAAGGCGGUUCUCUGGACAUUUCCUGACGCUGAGAAGCGAAAGCNUGGGGAGCAAACAGGCUUAGAUACCCUGGUAGUCCACGCCGUAAACGGUGGGCACUAGGUGUGGGACCCAUUUCCACGGGUUCCGUGCCGUAGCUAACGCAUUAAGUGCCCCGCCUGGGG